rnacentral:rRNA from 1 species
CCUACGGGAGGCAGCAGUGGGGAAUUUUGGACAAUGGGCGCAAGCCUGAUCCAGCAAUGCCGCGUGAGUGAAGAAGGCCUUCGGGUUGUAAAGCUCUUUUGUCAGGGAAGAAACGGUUCGGGUUAAUACCUUAGGCUAAUGACGGUACCUGAAGAAUAAGCACCGGCUAACUACGUGCCAGCAGCCGCGGUAAUACGUAGGGUGCAAGCGUUAAUCGGAAUUACUGGGCGUAAAGCGUGCGCAGGCGGUUGUGCAAGACAGAUGUGAAAUCCCCGGGCUCAACCUGGGAAUUGCAUUUGUGACUGUACGGCUAGAGUGUGUCAGAGGGGGGUAGAAUUCCACGUGUAGCAGUGAAAUGCGUAGAGAUGUGGAGGAAUACCGAUGGCGAAGGCAGCCCCCUGGGAUAACACUGGCGCUCAUGCACGAAAGCGUGGGGAGCAAACAGGAUUAGAUACCCUGGUAGUCCACGCCCUAAACGAUGUCUACUAGUUGUCGGGUCUUUAUUGACUUGGUAACGCAGCUAACGCGUGAAGUAGACCGCCUGGGGAGUACGGUCGCAAGAUUAAAACUCAAAGGAAUUGACGGCUUGAGAGNGCGAGACGACACGAGGAGAGG